CCGUACACAAAAGCGCAUGUGCUGUGAGCUCGAUGAGUAGGGCGGGACACGUGGUAUCCUGUCUGAAUAUGGGGGGACCAUCCUCCAAGGCUAAAUACUCCUGACUGACCGAUAGUGAACCAGUACCGUGAGGGAAAGGCGAAAAGAACCCCGGCGAGGGGAGUGAAAAAGAACCUGAAACCGUGUACGUACAAGCAGUGGGAGCACAGGUUUACCUGUGUGACUGCGUACCUUUUGUAUAAUGGGUCAGCGACUUAUAUUCUGUAGCAAGGUUAACCGUAUAGGGGAGCCGGAGGGAAACCGAGUCUUAAUUGGGCGUUAAGUUGCAGGGUAUAGACCCGAAACCCGGUGAUCUAGCCAUGGGCAGGUUGAAGGUUGGGUAACACUAACUGGAGGACCGAACCGACUAAUGUUGAAAAAUUAGCGGAUGACCUGUGGCUGGGGGUGAAAGGCCAAUCAAACCGGGAGAUAGCUGGUUCUCCCCGAAAGCUAUUUAGGUAGCGCCUCGUGAAUUCAUCUCCGGGGGUAGAGCACUGUUUCGGCUAGGGGGCCAUCCCGGCUUACCAACCCGAUGCAAACUGCGAAUACCGGAGAAUGUUAUCACGGGAGACACACGGCGGGUGCUAACGUCCGUCGUGAAGAGGGAAACAACCCAGACCGCCAGCUAAGGUCCCAAAGUCAUGGUUAAGUGGGAAACGAUGUGGGAAGGCCCAGACAGCCAGGAUGUUGGCUUAGAAGCAGCCAUCAUUUAAAGAAAGCGUAAUAGCUCACUGGUCGAGUCGGCCUGCGCGGAAGAUGUAACGGGGCUAAACCAUGCACCGAAGCUGCGGCAGCGAACGUAUCACCCAAGACAACUUUACGGAGUUGACGAUUGACGGAGCGAAGCGACGUCAAAGCGUUCAUUAAAGUCGAGUUGGCUUAGGGAUACGUUCGUUGGGUAGGGGAGCGUUCUGUAAGCCUGUGAAGGUGUGUCGUGAGGCAUGCUGGAGGUAUCAGAAGUGCGAAUGCUGACAUAAGUAACGAUAAAGCGGGUGAAAAGCCCGCUCGCCGGAAGACCAAGGGUUCCUGUCCAACGUUAAUCGGGGCAGGGUGAGUCGACCCCUAAGGCGAGGCCGAAAGGCGUAGUCGAUGGGAAACGGGUUAAUAUUCCCGUACUUGGUGUUACUGCGAAGGGGGGACGGAGAAGGCUAUGUUGGCCGGGCGACGGUUGUCCCGGUUUAAGCGUGUAGGUGUGUGUUCCAGGUAAAUCCGGUUCACUUUAACACUGAGGCGUGACGACGAGGCACUACGGUGCUGAAGCAACAAAUGCCCUGCUUCCAGGAAAAGCCUCUAAGCAUCAGGUAACAUCAAAUCGUACCCCAAACCGACACAGGUGGUCAGGUAGAGAAUACCAAGGCGCUUGAGAGAACUCGGGUGAAGGAACUAGGCAAAAUGGUGCCGUAACUUCGGGAGAAGGCACGCUGACACGUAGGUGAAGUGAUUUACUCAUGGAGCUGAAGUCAGUCGAAGAUACCAGCUGGCUGCAACUGUUUAUUAAAAACACAGCACUGUGCAAACACGAAAGUGGACGUAUACGGUGUGACGCCUGCCCGGUGCCGGAA
rnacentral:rRNA from 3 species